CAAUAGCGUAUAUUAAAGUUGUUGCAGUUAAAAAGCUCGUAGUUGGAUUUCUGGUGGGAGCGAUCGGUCUGGCGCUUAGCGCGAGUACUUGCAUCGUCUCCGGCCAUCCUUGGGGAGAGUCUGUCUGGCAUUAGGUUGUCGGGCAGAGGAUCCUCAUCGUUUACUGUGAAAAAAUUAGAGUGUUCAAAGCAGGCUUAUGCCGUUGAAUAUAUUAGCAUGGAAUAAUAAGAUAGGACUUUGGUACUAUUUUGUUGGUUUGCGCACCAAAGUAAUGAUUAAUAGGGACAGUUGGGGGUAUUCGUAUUCCGUUGUCAGAGGUGAAAUUCUUGGAUUUACGGAAGACGAACAUCUGCGAAAGCAUUUGCCAAGGAUGUUUUCAUUGA
rnacentral:rRNA from 1 species